rnacentral:rRNA from 1 species
CCUACGGGAGGCAGCAGUGGGGGAUAUUGCACAAUGGGGGGAACCCUGAUGCAGCUACGCCGCGUGGGUGAAGGAGCGUUUCGGCGCGUAAAGCCCUAUCGUCAGGGAAGAAGGAGGACGGUACCUUACUAAGAAGCCCCGGCAAACAACGUGCCAGCAGCCGCGGUAAUAGGUAGGGGGGAAGCGGUAGCCGGAUUUAGGGGGGGAAAAGGGGGCGCAGACGGCGGCGAAAGCCAGUGGUGAAAGCCCGGGGCCAAACCCCGGGACUGCUCUUGGGACUGCGCGGCUGGAGGGGAGAGGGGGCAGGGGGAAUUCAGGGUGUGGCGGUGAAAUGGGUAGAUAUCAGGAGGAACACCGGUGGCGAGGGAGGCCUGCUGGACUGCGACUGAGGUUGAGGCCCGAAAGCGUGGGGAGCAAACAGGAUUAGACACCCCUGUAUC